CCAUGAUGGGUGACCCACUGGGAAGUUCUCGUGUGAGUUCCCAAAAACAAAACCGUAAGGGCGUGAUCGGGGUCCAAAUCGGACAAUAUCGUGCUACGAUGAAGUCGAGCCUGGGAUGUGGUAGGAGCCCGGGGCGGAAUGUGACAGUAAUAAGUCAAGUAUUCCAUUUGAAAGAGUAUAUACUGAUGUAUAGGGGCAUUCACCCACGUUGUCUGUUGAAGGUUACAAGUACUAUGUAAUCUUUGUUGAUGAAUGCACAAGGUUUUUUUGGAUUUUCCCUUUUGUGAAUGAAUGUAAUGUGUAUCAAGUGUUUCUUAAAUUUCAUGCUCUUUUUGUGAAUCAAUUUAAAACCACUAUUAAGUUUUUACAGUCUGAUGGGGGAUGAGAAUAUAUGAGUGGUUUAUUUCAAAAGUUUCUACAAUCACAUGGCAUUUUUACAUUUUCUAUCAUGUCCAUAUACACCAACAAAAUGGGUUAGCAAAACGAAAGAAUAAGCAUGUCAUAAAGACUGUUGUCACCUUAUUAAGUGCUACUUCUUUACCUCAUCAGUUUUGUUUUCAUGCUUGUAGUCAUGUUGUCUUCCUUAUAAAUAGAAUGCCCUGUCAUAAUUUGCAGAUGUCUUCUCCUUAUGCCAAAUUGUUUGGUCAAUCUCCAUCUUUAGCAAACCUUAAGGUUUUUGGUACAACAAUUUAUCCUUAUUUGAGACCUUAUAGUGCUAAUAAGUUGCAAGCAAUGAGUGAUCAAUGUGUUUUCUUGGGAUAUUCAAUUGGUUAUAAAGGUGUUUUGUGCUAUAAUAGAGUUACAAAGAGGUUAUUGUUGUCUAGGCAUGUAGUACAUGAUGAAGGUGUUUUUCCUUUCAAAGUAUCUUAUGAGAAUAAUCUUAGUUCUUCACUGCAUAAUUCCACUUCUCAGAGAAAGUCAUCUCCAAUAGUGCCUAUUAUUUUACCUGGAACUUCACAUGUGUCUAAAGAACAACUACAGGGUAAUAAUGUGGAUAGUUACAGUAUGGAAGUACCAUCCUUGUCUUCUCAAAGUUCAAAUGCAUCUACCAGUUCAGAAAAUGUUCCUUUAUAAGCUACUACUCACUUACUACUCUACUAUCAAGCUCUAUAUCCUCUCAGAUAUUGCCUAUCCAUGCAAGCCCUCCAACUUAGGUAUCUUUUCCAUCUGAAGAUCUCUCUCAUACUCUUGAUGUGUCUAGGGAUGUAUCAGUGCAUUUAGAGAAUGAUUCUAUGUUACAUAAUCUAGUCAUUUCAAGUACUAGGUCAAUUGUUUCUUCUGGACAUAAUAUGGUUACAAGGUUAAAAAGUGGAGCAAUUCAAAGACAAGAUUAUGUAGCUUAUCAUGCUCAUAUUUCUGAUACUCAAAUUAAAUUUCAGUUUCAUGUUGAUGAUGUUGUUUUUAGUGGUUUUACUGUUGUAUUUGAUAUUCAUGAACACUAUGAGCCUUCACACUAUAAACAAGCUAUUAUGUCUGAAAUUUGGAGAAAUGCUAUGACAAAGGAGUUUACUGCAUUACAAAAACAAGGUACUUGGGAAUUAGUACCUCCUCCAGAAAAUAGGAAUGUGAUUGGGAGUAAAUGAGUCUAUAAGAUAAAAAAGGACCAAGAAGGAAAAGUGUCUAAUGCAAAGCUAGACUAAUUGCCCAAGGCUACAGUCAAGAACAAGGCUUAGACUAUGAAGAAACCUUCAGUCCAGUAGUUAAACAUAUAACUGUCAGACUUGUUAUGUCACUUGUUGCAAUGUACAAAUGGGAAUUAAGGCAAUUGGACAUAAAAAAUGCAUUUUUACAUGGAGAAUUACAAGAAGAUGUCUUUAUGAAACAACCCCAAGGUUUUCAAGAUUCUAGGUAUCCUCAUCAUAUAUGUAAACUUCUCAAAUCUUUGUAUGGACUGAAGCAGGCUCCAAGAGCAUGGAAUAAGUUUACUAGCUAUCUUCCAACUUUGGAAUUUCAACCUUCAUAGUCAGAUCCAAGUUUAUUCGUCAAAGUCAUUGGCAGUGAUGUGGUCAUUCUCUUACUUUAUGUUGAUGAUAUCAUCAUCACUGGCUCUUGUUUCAAGUUAGUCCAGACAAUCAUUGAUGAUUUGGUUAGUGUGUUUGACAUGAAAGAUAUGAGAAAGUUGACUUAUUUCCUUGGUUUUCAAGUUACUUAUAGAGAGAAUGGGGAUAUAUUUCUCAAUCAGUCAAAGUAUGUAACUGAUCUUCUUAACAAGGCAUGAAUGGUGAAUUGCAGACCUUGUUCCACUCCCAGUAAACCACAUACUCAAGUAUUGAAAGAUGAAGGAGAUCCUCUUAAUGAUCUAACUAUGUAUAGGAGUUUGGUGGGAGCAUUGCAAUAUUUGACCUUUACUAGGCCAGAUAUUGCAAAUGUUGUUAACUAUGCAUGCCAAUUUGUGACAACUCCUACUGAAGCUCAUUUUUGUUUGGUGAAGAGAAUUCUAAGGAGAUCUACAACUGGAUAUAUCGUUUUUCUGGGUUCUAAUCCUAUCUCAUGGCAAUCAAAUAAGCAGGGAAGUGUUUCUCGCAGUUCAAUAGAGGCUGAAUAUAAAACUUUAGCAAAUGCAGCAGCUGAUAUUGCCUGGAUACGAUUGGUCUUAAGAGAUCUUCAUGUGUUUCUUCCUUCUGCACCAUUGCUGCAUUGUGAUAAUCUUUCCACAUUAGUUUUGUGUUCUAAUCCGGUCUUUCAUACCAUGAUUAAACACUUAGACAUGGAUUUUCAUUUUCUUAAGGAAAGAGUACAAAAGGAGAUUUGAAAGUUCAUUAUAUUCCCACAGAAGCUCUGGUUGCUGAUGUAUUGACUAAGGGGCUUCACAUUCCUUUAUAGUUGCUGAUGUAUUGACUAAGCUGGUGUAUAGCUAUAUAUAUAGUUGCUCAACUACUUGUAAAGAUAAGAUUUUGCAGAUCAGAAAAAUACAAGCGUGCAUGACAAGCUUUUCACUCUUA